ACGUCCAUGGCCAAACGGGAUAAGGCACCCGGCUUCGAACCGGGCGAAUCGAGGUUCGAGUCCUCGUGGGCGUGCCA
rnacentral:tRNA from 1 species